rnacentral:rRNA from 1 species
GACGAACGCUGGCGGCGUGCUUAACACAUGCAAGUCGAACGGUGAAGCUCCAGCUUGCUGGAGUGGAUCAGUGGCGAACGGGUGAGUAACACGUGAGCAACCUGCCCCUGACUCUGGAAUAAGCGCUGGAAACGGCGUCUAAUACUGGAUACGAGAAGGGUCCGCAUGGGCACUUUCUGGAAAGUUUUUCGGUUGGAGAUGGGCUCGCGGCCUAUCAGCUUGUUGGUGAGGUAAUGGCUCACCAAGGCGACGACGGGUAGCCGGCCUGAGAGGGCGACCGGCCACACUGGGACUGAGACACGGCCCAGACUCCUACGGGAGGCAGCAGUGGGGAAUAUUGCACAAUGGGCGAAAGCCUGAUGUAGCGACGCCGCGUGAGGGAUGACGGCCUUCGGGUUGUAAACCUCUUUCAGCAGGGAAGAAGCGAAAGUGACGGUACCUGCAGAAGAAGCACCGGCUAACUACGUG